UGCAUUUUUUGGUAAGACGAUGUUAACAAAAGUUGUUCGUCUUGAUGAGGGCUACAACUUUUCUUAAUAUCCUUUUAACAAAUUAUGCGUAUUUAAGAAGAUAGGUCCGCGCAUGCGCAGAACGUAACUCCUUACGCUUGCAUUUUUUGGUAAAACGAUGUUAACAAAAGUUGUUCGACUUGAUGAGGGCUACAACUUUGCUUAAUAUCCUUUUAACAAAUUAUGCG
rnacentral:miRNA from 1 species